UACGUAGGGGGCUAGCGGUGUCCGGAAUCAUUGGGCGUAAAGAGCGCGUAGGCGGCCAGAUAAGUCCGGUGUGAAAGUCACAGGCUCAACCUGUGAAUGCCGCUGGAAACUGUCUGGCUAGAGUCCGGGAGGGGCGAGUGGAAUUCCUGGUGUAGCGGUGAAAUGCGCAGAUAUCAGGAGGAAUACCGAUGGCGAAGGCAGGUCUCUGGGCUGACACUGACGCUCAUGCACGAAAGCGUGGGGAGCAAACAGG
rnacentral:rRNA from 1 species